UUACAUGGCCGACUGAGCGACGGUUGUCGACUAUAGACUCGAAGGCAAAAGUAAGGAAGAAGCUGGCGAGAUAUUGGCGAAAAUCUCAUGACGAUAACUCAUCUCUCCCAACUUGGGAUUAUUCCUCCGUCGAUAAUUCUCGUCCCAUGGACACCGAAGGUUUUUUUUCUCAGGAUGCCGAGAAAUGCUUUCACCAAAAAUUAUUUUAUCAGCAACCAAACAAGGAUUUAUUACUUCUUUUUUUUUUUUUUGAAUACACAGAGCAAGAAGAGUUGGAUCGAUCGCUUGAAAGUUUGCAAGCUUAGCAGUCUCUUUUAUGGAGGGUAUAGUAUUCACAAUGCUUAUUAAGUAUAGCUCUUUUACAUAACGAUUAUUCUUUAAAUUUUUAUUUUGAUUAUUAUUGAUUUAUCUGGUAGAGAGUGUUCGCCGGAAUUCUCUUCUGCUACGCUGUGCUUCAGCUAUAUUCCAUCUACCAGCAGGCAUCUUCUCCACGGGAACUGGUGAACUAAAUCAAUCACUCAAUAGAAUGAGAUUAAUGAUUUUGGAAGUGGAUAGAUUGUGUGCUUUUCUUUGGAUUUUUUUUUUUUUUAUUAAUAGAGGUAUCGUGCUUACUUUAUGGAAGAUAUUGAUUCAUGGAUGGUAAUAUCUGCAGGUGGUACAAAAUGAUGACUUCAUUCCUGCAUCUCAUGGUUAUCUGUGCUAUUUCCAACAUAAAGUAUCCACAUAGGGUCACAUGCUUACAUGUCCAGGAAUCGCAUGUAAAGAUAUCAUUUUCCCUUGUUAGCCUGCGGCCAGACUUGCAUUAUCAUUGUCAAAAGGAAAUUAAUAGUGCAGUUUGGUUGCAGUAAAGCUGCUUUUCUUUCUUGCAUUUAGAAGGAUCAAGUUGGAAAUUAUAUGGUUUACUUCUUAUCCUAUUCUUUCAAUUGAUUAUGCCUCAAAUAAAUCUCCCUUCGAAAUUCAUAAGGGUAACUGUUGGAUGUAUUUCCUUAAUAGAAAAGUGGGUUCUACCCCAAAAGGGUGGAAUGAAUGACAGAUGUGAUGGAGCUUGAUUAGUCAUUCGCUCUAAAUAGUUGAAUGGAAUUCUCUUGAUUAAUUAUUUUCUCC